GACGGAGGAUGCAAGUGUUAUCCGGAAUCACUGGGCGUAAAGCGUCUGUAGGUGGUUUAAUAAGUCAACUGUUAAAUCUUGUGGCUCAACCUCAAAAUCGCAGUCGAAACUAUUAGGCUAGAGUAUAGUAGGGGUAAAGGGAAUUUCCAGUGGAGCGGUGAAAUGCGUAGAGAUUGGAAAGAACACCGAUGGCGAAGGCACUUUACUGGGCUAUUACUAACACUCAGAGACGAAAGCUAGGGUAGCAAAUGGG
rnacentral:rRNA from 1 species